UCCAUGAAUAGCAGUAGAAAGAUACAGUUGGUCACUGGCAAAGCCAUGGAGCAGAAACCGAGGCAUGCUCUGACAUAGUUGGAGUGUGGUUGAGUCCGGGGAAAACAGAUGCCCGGUAAGGGUGGAGGAGCAGGAAAGCAACCUUUAAUUCUGAGAGCACCAAGACGUUACUGGGGGCUUUUAAAGAUGAGAGUAAGUCCUGGCUGCAAAUGGCCGCCUGAGAGAAAAUGACGAGCCUCAUUUUAGCAAGAUCACUUUUGACUGCUGUACGGAAAAUGUGUUAGAAAGAGAUAAAUAUGGAAGCAAUGAGACCAGUCAGUGAUAUGAAGCCAUAGCGGCUUGUACUAUUUAUGCCACCCGGGGAGGGGGCUGCUAUCGGCUGAUUCGAGGAUUCAGUGGGCAUGUCUGGAGGACUUUCAGGUUAGGUCCUGGAACCAGGGAUUAGAGACAGGAGGUAGAGUCAGAGGCAGGGAAGGGAGGAUGUGUGCCAGAGAAGAGAAAAAAAAAGUUUAGAAUCCCAACAGUGAUGCUGUGUAAAGAGUCGGGCCGUCAUUCUCGGGCUUCCUCACACAUGAUCUGUUACAUAUAGUUCUACACACAACUUUAUGCAUUUUGGUUUCAUUAGCAUUAAAUCUCCACCUAGGGGUGUGCAUUAUUGUAUUAUAAUGAACCGUAGGUCACCUUCAGACACCAGGAUGGUCCCUGUGCCUAUGCCAAUGGCUGUCUUUAGUUGGUGGUAGAGGGAGUGUGGGCCUUUCUUCUUUGAAACUAGUUUCUCUCCUGUGAUAGUUUUUGCAGCCUUCAUACAAGGCUCUCUAGACCUUGCUCUACCCUCUAUUCUCUCACCUCGGUGUGCUGUAUUGCCCACCCCACCUUAGACCUAAGACCUUCCAACACGUUCCAACCACUAGGGUAAUGUGGAAAUGACCCGGGUCUUCCAAAAUUAGACUAUACAGAGCCACGCAAACUCUACUUUUUGUGCUCAGUCCUCGCUUGAUCGACCUGAGAAAUACAUUCCUUGAGGAUGCCCACCUUGGAAGGAGCCUGGGCUGUGUCAUGUGACCACGUGCAGAUGUUCCAGUCAAUAGACCCCGCUAAGGUCCAUGGGCAGUCAGCUUCAAACUACUAGGUGUAUGAGUGAAGUUGCCUUCCGGGCGAUUCCAGCUCCCCCUGCACAGUCACCCCUCAUCUCCGAGUCUUCUGCAGGAGUUACCCCCGGUUAGCAGCUCUGUCGAACACAUGACAAGAAGCCACUUGAAAGUGGAAAGCUUUGUGUUGGCUUACAGGCCGUCAUGGCAGGGAAAAAACAGCGUUGGGACCUGAGACUGCCAGUCACACUGUGAGCAUGCGCGGUAGGAAGCAUAAACCAGGAGUAGAGCCAGACUUUCAAACCUUGAGGCCUACCCUUAGUGACCCACUUCUUCAGUGAGGCUCGGCCACGUAAGGCUUCCCCGGCCUUCUAGAACACCACCAGCUGGAGGUUAGGGGUCACAUGCACCAAUGGAGCUGGUUUCCCUUCCAAACCGCAGCUUCUCCCUGGCUGAGGUCUGAAAUGUGAGUCCAGAUAAGUCAGUCCCGUGAUGCCCCGUCUGGAUUUCAGGACCAUUAAUAGUUGACAUAGGUUGUCACGCAGCAGAGGUAACGGACGCAGCGGGAGAAGAACAUCUCUCAGGGAAGACACAAGGAGUUGCCAUGGAAUUGGAGGACACACUUCCGGAAGGAGUCACUUAGGCGUCUGAGUUGGCAGACAUGGAUGCCGGAGGGAGCCGCCAUAAACAGCGCGUGGACUCCCCUAACUUCACAGGACUGAGAGAGACCAUCGAGGGCGAGAGGUGGACUGAGAGGCGGGCUCAAGGCGCAUCUGGGAAGAUUCCUGCUCCGAACCCAGGCAGAUGAAGAACACCACAGAAAAUCAGGAAGACUCUGAGGGGGCAGUCCUCGCAGGAGGGGGUAGGCUAUCAAACUACUGGGACGGAGUGUGUCUCCACAUGCAGUCUAAGGUUCUUCUCUCCAGUUCUGGAAAUGUCAAUCCCUUUUGGUAUCAGCUCUCCCUGAACAGUCUGUGCAGGCGUCCUCCCGAUGGUUUAUAAAACACCAGCUAGGAGCAGCUAAAUUCGGGAUUUGCACAGGGCAAGAGGAAGGGCCACGUGAGGACACACGGGAAGACAGCUAUCUGCAUGCAGUGUGUUGAUGCUGCAGUGACAGCCUCUGGAACUGGGAGGGCACAAACGUCAGCCGUCAGCCUCCCAGUGGUCUGUAUCCCGCUUCACAGCCAGAGUCCAGUGACACAGUGUCUCAGCUACCACCAAAAGGGGACAAAGACACUAGAGAAGAUUGAACCAAGGUCUUGCUCAUGCUACACAAGCACUGCAGCCCUGAGGUACAAGAACUUCAAAAAGAACUCCACAGCCAUUUGCUGUCCUCUUUCCUUCAGAGUGUUCAGGUGAGGAGCCCGGUGGCGUCGCGGGGAUGUUCCAGUCACUUGAAUAGUGACGUGGUAAGCAAUGGGUCCUCAGACUUCACAAUUACGCUCCCCUAGUUCCAACCAUGACAUCCACUGGAGGCGAAGUGAUUCCCCCAAAGACUCACAUAUUGACAGCUUGGUGGCCAGAUGGUGGGUCUAACCAUGGAGAGGUUAUUGGGUCAUGAAGGUUCAUGACCUCAUCGGUGGGUUAACCCAAGGAUGACUUCAUGAUUUGGUGGCCAUCGUGCAGUUAUGGCAGCUUUACUUGGCUAUAAAUAUCCAUCCAUCCUGGUGUGCCGUCUCACACAGCCCAGGGGCAACAGAGCCAGCUAGCCGUGGGCUAAAACCCGACACCAUGUAC